GACGAACGCUGGCGGCGUGCCUAAUACAUGCAAGUUGAGCGAUGAAGAUUGGUGCUUGCUCCAAUUUGAAGAGCAGCGAACGGGUGAGUAACGCGUGGGGAAUCUGCCUUUGAGCGGGGGACAACAUUUGGAAACGAAUGCUAAUACCGCAUAACAACUUUAAACAUAAGUUUUAAGUUUGAAAGAUGCAAUUGCAUCACUCAAAGAUGAUCCCGCGUUGUAUUAGCUAGUUGGUGAGGUAAAGGCUCACCAAGGCGAUGAUACAUAGCCGACCUGAGAGGGUGAUCAGCCACAUUGGGACUGAGACACGGCCCAAACUCCUACGGGAGGCAGCAGUAGGGAAUCUUCGGCAAUGGACGAAAGUCUGACCGAGCAACGCCGCGUGAGUGAAGAAGGUUUUCGGAUCGUAAAACUCUGUUGGUAGAGAAGAACGUUGGUGAGAGUGGAAAGCUCAUCAAGUGACGGUAACUACCCAGAAAGGGACGGCUAACUACGUG
rnacentral:rRNA from 1 species